rnacentral:RNase_P_RNA from 1 species
GCGGAUGGCCGGAUGACCGCGGGCGGGCAACCGUCCGAGGAAAGUCCGGACUCCAUGAAGCAAGGGUGCCGGGUAACGCCCGGCGGGGGCAACCCCAGGGAAAGCGCCACAGAGAACAGACCGCCCGGCAUGCCGGGCAAGGGUGAAACGGUGGGGUAAGAGCCCACCGCGGACCGGGCAACCGGGACGGCACGGCAAGCCCCACCCGGAGCAAUGCCGAAUAGGGGCCCCACGCGGAAAGGUCCGGGCCAUCAGCCGCAAGGCUGCCGGAAACCUCCGCGGGGACGCUUCAGCCCAGGGGCCCGGGUUGGCAGCUUGACCGCCGCGGCAACGCGGUCGGCAGAGGAAUGGUCAUCCAGGGGGGCAACCCCCGGACAGAAUCCGGCUUACAGGCCAUCCGCGCAA